GAUGAACGCUGGCGGCGUGCCUAAUACAUGCAAGUCGAGCGAACGGACGAGAAGCUUGCUUCUCUGAUGUUAGCGGCGGACGGGUGAGUAACACGUGGAUAACCUACCUAUAAGACUGGGAUAACUUCGGGAAACCGGAGCUAAUACCGGAUAAUAUUUUGAACCGCAUGGUUCAAAAGUGAAAGACGGUCUUGCUGUCACUUAUAGAUGGAUCCGCGCUGCAUUAGCUAGUUGGUAAGGUAACGGCUUACCAAGGCAACGAUGCAUAGCCGACCUGAGAGGGUGGUCGGCCACCCUGGAACUGAGCCACGGUCCAGCCUCCUACGGGAGGCAGCAGUAGGGAAUCUUCCGCAAUGGGCGAAAGCCUGACGGAGCAACGCCGCGUGAGUGAUGAAGGUCUUCGGAUCGUAAAACUCUGUUAUUAGGGAAGAACAUAUGUGUAAGUAACUGUGCACAUCUUGACGGUACCUAAUCAGAAAGCCACGGCUAACUACGUG
rnacentral:rRNA from 1 species